rnacentral:lncRNA from 1 species
AAACAUCUCACAACCUAUAGAUCAUCUAACACUCAUAUACAUAGGGUGCUACUAGUGCAAUAGGUAAGUCACUAAUGCUAGGGCGCUAUACCCUUACCGCAAUCCUCGCCCGGAGAAAAAAAAUUUUUUUUUUUUUGAGAGAUAGGUAGCACGCUAUGCCCUUACCGCGAUCCUCGCCCGGAAAAAAGUAAAUUUUUUUUUUGAGAGAUAGGUAGCACGCUACCCGCUUCGUUUAUUUCAUUUAGAAAUAAACUUAGCUGAAAAUGUGAAUCAACUAGGAUUCGAACUUGGGUCGAGGGUACCAACUAUCAAACCCUUUGCCACUUGCUCUAGGGACGGUUGGUGAGAAAAAAGAAUAUUGUGAGAAUUUUAUUAAUAUAGGUAGAUAAUUUCUGUAUUGAACCAAAUAUGAAAAUAAUGUAUUUAAAAGUUUUAAAUAAAUAAAAGAAUUUAUAUAAAAUAUGAAUUAAUAAAUUCUAAAAACAGAUUUUAAAAAAAUUAAUUUUUAAUAAAAAAAAUUUUGAAUUUGUGA